GUGUAUUUGUAUUAGUAUUCUAAAUCAUAAACAGUACACAAAUAGGUAUAAAAAUCAUUCAACGAAAUAUGAAAUUGCCAAUUGCUACCUUUGCAAUUUUUUUAAUUGUCUGUCUUGUUUUAGUCAAAUGUGCGCCUAAAGAUGACAAAGAUGGAAAAGUAGUGGGUCCAAGAGUCAAUCGUCUGAAAAGAGCUCCAUUUUGCCUGGGAUGUAAUUUAACAUGUAAAGUAAUGGGAAUGAAAUAUGGAAAAUGCGAAAAUGGCUUAUGUGUCUGCUACUGGUCCUAACUCGAUCAACGUCGAAAUCAAUCAUCUCAAAGUCAAAUGUUACAUGUUAACUCAUCUCUCAGUGUUAAACAUUUAAAUAAAAGCGUUGUUAUUAA